UACGUAGGGGGCGAGCGUUGUCCGGAUUUAUUGGGCGUAAAGAGCGUGUAGGCGGCCAGGUAGGUCUGCUGUGAAAACUCGAGGCUCAACCUCGAGACGUCGGCGGAAACCAUCUGGCUAGAGUCCGGAAGAGGAGAGUGGAAUUCCUGGUGUAGCGGUGAAAUGCGCAGAUAUCAGGAAGAACACCCGUGGCGAAGGCGGCU
rnacentral:rRNA from 1 species